rnacentral:rRNA from 1 species
UCGGCUACCGGCUUCGGCUGGUUCGUGUUCGCCAGAGGACCUAAAACUCUGAAUUAUAAUGCCGUCUGAGUACUAUAUAAUAGUUAAAACUUUCAACAACGGAUCUCUUGGUUCUGGCAUCGAUGAAGAACGCAGCGAAAUGCGAUAAGUAAUGUGAAUUGCAGAAUUCAGUGAAUCAUCGAAUCUUUGAACGCACAUUGCGCCCUCUGGUAUUCCGGGGGGCAUGCCUGUUCGAGCGUCAUUACAACCCUCAAGCUCUGCUUGGUAUUGGGCCUCCGCCUCCCCGGCGGGCCUUAAAAUCAGUGGCGGUGUCAUCUGACUCUAAGCGUAGUAAUUUUUCUCGCUCUGGAAAUCAGUUGGUUACUUGCCAUCGAACCCCAAAUUUUUAAAGGUUGACCUCGGAUCAGGUAGGGAUACCCGCUGAACUUAAGCAUAUCAAUAAGCGGAGGAAAAGAAACCAACAGGGAUUACCUCAGUAACGGCGAGUGAAGCGGUAACAGCUCAAAUUUGAAAUCUGGCCCUUUCAGGGUCCGAGUUGUAAUUUGUAGAGGAUGUUUCGGGUGUGGCUCCGGUCUAAGUUCCUUGGAACAGGACGUCAUAGAGGGUGAGAAUCCCGUAUGUGACUGGUUGCCUACACCCAUGUGAAACUCCUUCGACGAGUCGAGUUGUUUGGGAAUGCAGCUCAAAAUGGGUGGUAAAUUUCAUCUAAAGCUAAAUAUUGGCCAGAGACCGAUAGCGCACAAGUAGAGUGAUCGAAAGAUGAAAAGCACUUUGGAAAGAGAGUUAAACAGUACGUGAAAUUGUUGAAAGGGAAGCGCUUGCAACCAGACUUGCACUUGGUUAAUCAUCCUCUGUUCUCAGGGGUGCACUUGAUCUCGUUCAGGCCAGCAUCGGUUUUGGUGGUUGGAUAAAGGCCUUAGGAAUGUAGCUUCCCUCGGGGAGUGUUAUAGCCUAGGGUGCAAUGCAGCCUACCGGGA